UCUUCCAUCCAGGGACUGAACGGGCGCAGCCUUGCUUAGCUUCAGUGGGUGACCAUGUGAGAGUUGCAGAGAGCUAGCUGCCAGCGAUUUGAACCCAAUAGCAAAUUUAAUCCAAAGUUUAGCCCAUAUUUUACCCAGUUUGGGUUUAAAUAGCCAAGCAUUUAUUAGAGUGUAUAAGUUAACUCAAUUCCUUAAUGUGACCCCAACACAAAUCCAUUUUGUGAAACCCAAUAUUUUUUACAGUGCAUGUUUACAGUAUAAAAUGCAUUAUGCCUAUGUCCUCGAAAAACACCAAAACCAACAUGCGUGUGUGUAUGUGUGUGUGUGUGUGUGUGUGUGUGUGUGUGUGUGUGUGUGUGUGUGUGUGUGUGUGUGUGUGUGUGUGUGUGUGUGUGUGUGUGUGUGUUUAGGCACGUUUGGAAGCCGAAUGCCCUUCUCUGCACUAUCAUUCCAGAUCAGUCAUCCCAGCAGUGUCAACAUUUAGUGAGCAUGCUUGUUUUACUGUCAUUGUGCCAUGUAUCACCGUGACAUGACACUUUUGUGGUCUAACGUCAAAUCCUUUUGUGCAAAGAACAAACUAUCCAUAGUGACAUCAAUGUCGACAAUGUUCCCAUCAAGGACGCCACUGUUGGAGCUUGAUAAAUCCGUCACGGUCGACACCCAUCGACCAAUUCAUGCUAACAAUGGAAGUGGUACUUAUAAGCAUUUUGUGCUCAUCGAGAUGGACUCGCAGCCAGAUCGAGGCCUGUGAAAUCCCGGAAAGCGGCUCAAACUGGGUCAGCGCCACAUCAAGGUAGUUCAGACUAGAUGGUGGUCUCUUGUGUUUUUGUUUCCAGCGGAGUAUUAAAUAAUAAUUCAGUCACAUCGGAUAGAAUAUAUAAAGGGAAUGUACAGUGAACUCAUUUUUAUGCUACAGCUGGGAUGUCUCGCAAAGGUUAUGAUAACAUUUGAUGAAAAGAAAAGAAAAAUAAGCCUCAAAACAUCAUCCGAGGGCUUGUGCUUUUUAGUUUAAAUGUGUGAUUAGCCAGAAUACCUCUCAUAUGUCACAACGAAGAAUGUAUAUUCUUAUCUUAUAUAAAACUGUUUGGAGUUGUCAUUUUCGAUUUAUAUAAAAAGAUCACUUUGUGUUAGCUGCCAGUGUGAAAUGGUGCCUAAUUUUAAUCAUUUGCGCUGUACAGGUUGUGUCUAGUUUUGGAAUGAUGUAUAGAUACGCUGUUGCACAUGAAUUUUACGUGAAGCAAAAUUGAUCAGCGGAUGAACUGGAUGUUGUUUAUUGUAUCUGUGUAUCUGUGCUGUGAAAGUGAGUACUAUUUGUUCAUACCGCAUGCUAAACCGACAACACACGGUACGAGUAAUAAAUUCACAGAAGAAGCAUGACCCAAAUUCUUUACAGUCCUGUGUACACAUGCUGAAUAUUUUUGUAUUCACGUUUCAACCAGCUUGAUACAUGGUAUAUGUAUUUUUGUAACAUUUGGGACCAUUUUUCCAUUGCUGUUUUAAUGUUCACGAUCAAUCAUUUUAAAUAAACUUCUAUUUACGUCGCGAUUUCAGUGUUAAAA